rnacentral:rRNA from 1 species
AGUAACGCGUGGGAAUGUACCCUUCUCUACGGAAUAGCCUCGGGAAACUGAGAGUAAUACCGUAUACGCCCUUCGGGGGAAAGAUUUAUCGGAGAAGGAUCAGCCCGCGUAAGAUUAGAUAGUUGGUGGGGUAAUGGCCUACCAAGUCUACGAUCUUUAGCUGGUUUUAGAGGAUGAUCAGCAACACUGGGACUGAGACACGGCCCAGACUCCUACGGGAGGCAGCAGUGGGGAAUCUUGGACAAUGGGCGCAAGCCUGAUCCAGCCAUGCCGCGUGUGUGAUGAAGGCCUUAGGGUCGUAAAGCACUUUCGCUAGAGAUGAUAAUGACAGUAUCUAGUAAAGAAGUCCCGGCUAACUCCGUGCAAGCAGCCGCGGUAAUACGGAGGGGACUAGCGUUGUUCGGAAUUACUGGGCGUAAAGCGUACGUAGGCGGAUCAGAAAGUAUGGGGUGAAAUCCCAGGGCUCAACCCUGGAACUGCCUCAUAAACUCCUGGUCUAGAGUUCGAGAGAGGUGAGUGGAAUUCCGAGUGUAGAGGUGAAAUUCGUAGAUAUUCGGAGGAACACCAGUGGCGAAGGCGGCUCACUGGCUCGAUACUGACGCUGAGGUACGAAAGUGUGGGGAGCAAACAGGAUUAGAUACCCUGGUAGUCCACACCGUAAACGAUGAAUGCCAGUCGUCGGGUAGCAUGCUAUUCGGUGAC